rnacentral:rRNA from 1 species
CCUACGGGUGGCAGCAGUGGGGAAUAUUGCACAAUGGUGGAAACACUGAUGCAGCGACGCCGCGUGAGUGAAGAAGUAAUUCGUUAUGUAAAGCUCUAUCAGCCGGGAAGAAAAUGACGGUACCUGAGUACGAAGCCCCGGCUAACUACGUGCCAGCAGCCGCGGUAAUUCGUAGGGGGCCAGCGUUAUCCGGAUUUACUGGGUGUAAAGGGGGCGUAGACGGCAGUGCAAGUCUGGAGUGAAAGGCGGGGGCUCAACCCCCGGCCCGCCCUUGAAACUGGACGGCUGGAGUGGAGGAGAGGUAAGUGGAAUUCCUAGUGUAGCGGUGAAAUGCGUAGAUAUCAGGAGGAACACCAGUGGCGAAGGCGGCUUACUGGACUGUAACUGACGUUGAGGCUCGAAAGCGUGGGGAGCAAACAGGAUUAGAUACCCUGGUAGUC